rnacentral:rRNA from 1 species
CGGAUAAGUCUUUACGGAGAAAGCUUUAUGCACCAUGGAUGAGCCUGCACUUGAUUAGUUUGUUGGUGGGGUAAUGGCCUACCAAGACUGUGAUCAAUAGCUGAUUUGAGAGGAUGAUCAGCCACAUUGGGACUGAGACACGGCCCAAACUCCUACGGGAGGCAGCAGUGGGGAAUCUUGCACAAUGGAGGAAACUCUGAUGCAGCGAUGCCGCGUGAGUGAAGAAGGCCCUUGGGUUGUAAAGCUCUUUCGUCGGGGAAGAAAAUGACUGUACCCGAAUAAGAAGGUCCGGCUAACUUCGUGCCAGCAGCCGCGGUAAUACGAAGGGACCUAGCGUAGUUCGGAAUUACUGGGCUUAAAGAGUUCGUAGGUUGUUGAAAAAGUUGGUGGUGAAAUCCCAGAGCUUAACUCUGGAACUGCCAUCAAAACUUUUCAGCUAGAGUAUGAUAGAGGAAAGCAGAAUUUCUAGUGUAGAGGUGAAAUUCGUAGAUAUUAGAAAGAAUACCAAUUGCGAAGGCAGCUUUCUGGAUCAUUACUGACACUGAGGAACGAAAGCAUGGGUAGCGAAGAGGAUUAGAUACCCUCGUAGUCCAUGCCGUAAACGAUGUGUGUUAGACGUUGGGAAUUUAUUUUCAGUGUCGCAGCGAAAGCGAUAAACACACCGCCUGGGGAGUACGACCGCAA